rnacentral:lncRNA from 1 species
UUCUUUUUCAUUUUUUUUUAACACAUACUAUACUAAGACAUUUUUUUCAUUUUUUAUACCACAUACUACACUAAGGUAACUUCGUGGACUACACACUAUACUAAGGCAUUUUUUUCAUCUUUUUUAAACCACAUACUAUACUAAGGCAUUUUUUUUUUCAUAUUUUUACCACAUACUAUACGAAGGCUUUUUUUUUUUCAUUUUUUUAACACAUACAAUACAAAGACAUUUUUUUCAUUUUUUUAAACCACAUACUAUACUAAGGCAUUUUUUAACCACAUACUAUACUAAGGCAUUUUUUUUACCACAUACUACACUAAGGUAAAUUCGUGGACUACACACUAUACUAAGGCAUUUUUUUCAUUUUUUUACCACAUACUAUAUUAAGACUUUUUUUUUUUUUUUUUUUACCACAUACUAUACUAAGGCAAAUUCAUGGACUACACACUAUAGUCAGGCAUUUUUUUCAUCUUUUUUACCACAUACUACACUAAGGAAUUUUUUUGUCAUUUUUUUACCACAUGCUAUAUAUACUAAAGCAUUUUUUUCAUUUUUUUACCACAUACUAUACGAAGGCAUUUUUUUUUACCACAUACUACACUAAGGCAUUUUUUUCAUUUUUUUUAACCACAUAUUAUACGAAGGCAUUUUUUAACCACAUACUAUACUAAGACAUUUUUUUCAUUUUUUUAAACCACAUACUAUACUAAGGCAUUUUUUAACCACAUACUAUACUAAGGCAUUUUUUUUCAUAUUUUUACCACAUACUAUACUAAGGCAUUUUUUUACCACACACUAUACUAAGGCAAAUUCAUGGACUACACACUAUACUAAGGCAUUUUUUUCAUCUUUUUUAAAACAUACUAUACGAAGGCAUUUUUUUUUACCACAUACUAUACCAAGGCAUUUUUUUUCAUUUUUUUUUAACCACAUACUAUACGAAGGCAUUUUUUAACCACAUACUAUACUAAGGCAUUUUUUUCAUUUUUUUACCACAUACUAUACAAAGACAUUUUUUAAAUUUUUUUAAACCAAAUACUAUAACGAAGGCAUUUUUUUUUUCAUAUUUUUACCACAUACUAUACUAAGGCAAAUUUUGGCACCACAUACUACACUAAGGCAAAUUCAUAGACUACACACUAUAGUAAGGCAUUUUUUCAUUUUUUUUAACACAUACUAUACUAAGACAUUUUUUUCAUUUUUUUUAACACAUACUAUACUAAGGCAAAUUCGUGGACUACACACUAUAGUAAGGCAUUUUUUUACCACAUAAUAUACUAAGGCAAAUUUUGGCAACACAUACUAUAGUAAGGCAUUUUUUUCAUUUUUGUUACCACAUAUUAUACUAAGACAUUUUUUAAAUUUUUUUAAACCACAUACUAUACGAAGGCAUUUUUUAACCACAUAAUAUACUAAGGCAUUUUUUUUCAUAUUUUUACCACAUACUAUACUAAGACAUUUUUUUUCAUUUUUUUUUACCACAUACUACACUAAGGCAAAUUCAUAGACUACACACUAUAGUAAGGCAUUUUUUUCAUUUUUGUUACCACAUAUUAUACUAAGGCAAAUUCGUGGACUACACACUAUAGUAAGGCAUUUUAUUUUCAUUUUUUUACCACAUACUAUACUAAGGCAAAUUUUGCACCGCAUACUAAACGAAGUCAAAUUUUGCACCACAUCCUAAACAAAGGCAAAUUUUGCACCACAUCCUAAACUGAGGCAAAUUUUGCACCACAUCCUAAACUGAGGCAAAUUUUGCACCACACACUAAACUGAGGCAGAUUUUGCACCACAUACUAAACUGAGGCAGAUUUUGCACCACACACUAAAUUGAGGCAGAUUUUGCACCACACUCUAAACUGAGGCAGAUUUUGCACCACACACUAAACUGAGGCAGAUUUUGCACCACACACUAAACUGAGGCAGAUUUUGCACCACACACUAAACUGAGGCAGAUUUUGCACCACACACUAAACUGAGGCAGAUUUUGCACCACACACUAAACUGAGGCAGAUUUUGCACCACAUACUAAACUGCAGCAGAUUUUGCACCACAUACUAAACUAAGGCAAAUUAUUCACCACACACUAAACUAAGGCAAAUUUUACACGCCAUACUGUACUAAUGCAUAUUUUCCACAACAUACUAUAGUAAAGUACGGUAUAUACUCAAUUUCACUCCAACUAUAAGCCAUUGAACCCUCAGGUGCAGCUCAUCAAUCCAGCACAACCUGUGACAGGCAAUAGAGGGAUAUAUUUGUCCUUUUGACUAUUUAACAAGCUGUUUUAGCACUACAUAUUUGCCUAAACCCAGAGCUCUGACAGCAAAAUAUGUCAAAAUUAAAAAUAUAACUGUUUUCAGCAAAACUCACCCCGAGCCUGAUGUCGUUGCUGCGUCUCCUCCGGCGUUUGUUGUAUCUUGAUAUAUCUUCAUUUCCCGCCGCUAACGAGUGUAUUUCAUGAUUAUGUUGCAUAACUUCUUGUCAUUUCCUCGUAAACGUUUUUCCUUCAUGUUGAAAUGUCCAACCAAACACACGUUUCGUCUACGGCCAACGCGAAUACUCGACGCCAUUGUUACUAACAUGCU